rnacentral:rRNA from 1 species
AUUGAACGCUGGCGGCAUGCCUAACACAUGCAAGUCGAACGGCAACACGGGUGCUUGCCCCUGUUGGCGAGUGGCGAACGGGUGAGUAAUACAUGGGCACACUUCCUGUAGUGGGGGAAGGACCGGCGGAAGCCGCGUCUAUAACGCCUACGAUGAAGGGAACACAGGGGGAUACUUUGGGACCUCGCUCUCUGGGGUUACUCGUGGGCGGAUUAGCGAGUUUGUGGGGGAAAGGCCUACCAAGGCGAGGAUAAGGAGCUGGUCCGAGAGGGUGAUCAGCCACACUGGAACUGAGACACGGUCCAGACUCCUACGGGAGGCAGCAGUGGGGAAUUUUGGACAAUGGGCGAAAGCCUGACCCAGCAAUGCCGCGUGUGGGAAGAAGGCCUUCGGUUUGUAAAGCACUUUUGUCCGGAAAGAACUGCUUUGAGCUAAGACGGAGCGGGGAUGACGGUACCUGAAGAAUAAGCACCGGCUAACUACGUG